rnacentral:rRNA from 1 species
ACGGGGUGCAGCAGGCGCGAAAACUUUACAAUGCGGGAAACCGUGAUAAGGGGACACCGAGUGCCAGCAUCAUAUGCUGGCUGUCCGGGUGUGUAAAAUACACCUGUUAGCAAGGGCCGGGCAAGACCGGUGCCAGCCGCCGCGGUAACACCGGCGGCCCGAGUGGUGAUCGUGAUUAUUGGGUCUAAAGGGUCCGUAGCCGGUUUGGUCAGUCCUCCGGGAAAUCUGAUGGCUCAACCAUUAGGCUUUCGGGGGAUACUGCCAGGCUUGGAACCGGGAGAGGUAAGAGGUACUACAGGGGUAGGAGUGAAAUCUUGUAAUCCCUGUGGGACCACCUGUGGCGAAGGCGUCUUAUCAGAACGGGUUCGACGGUGAGGGACGAAAGCUGGGGGCACGAACCGGAUUAGAUACCCGGGUAGUCCCAGCCGUAAACGAUGCUCGCUAGGUGUCAGGCAUGGCGCGACCGUGUCUGGUGCCGCAGGGAAGCCGUGAAGCGAGCCACCUGGGAAGUACGGCCGCAAGGCUGAAACUUAAAGGAAUUGGCGGGGGAGCAC